rnacentral:lncRNA from 1 species
UCUACAAUCUGACUUUUUCACUCAAUAUAUUUUUGAGAUCUAUUAAUGGUGACACAUAUAAUCCCUAGUUAGUUCCGUUAAAUUACUCUACUGUAUUCUAGGAAGCCAGCGUGCUACAUCUUAUUUGGCCCUUCUCCUCAUGAUGGAUAUUUAGGUUGUUUCUAAUUUUUUCUUGUUAUAAACAAUGCUUCAGCGAAUAUCCCAUACAUAUGCCAAACUACUUUUAAACCCUGUGGGAGGCAGGAAUGGUGAAUUCUAUUUUAUGAAUCCUCUGUUCCCCUUUGCACAAGGCCCUGCCUAUGGUAGAUAAUCAGUAUAUUUAUUAAUACAUACUUUGUGUGGCACAGGUACGUGUAAACUAAUACCUGAAGUCAUGUUUUGAAGCGAUGCUCUGUAAUGGAAGCACAAAUUCAGAGCUGACAGCUGUCUGGGUACCAGGGUUCAAUCCACUUGAUGCCCCAAGAUUGUCUGCUCUCUCUUUUGAGACUGAAGCAAUAAGGUCUUUCCCCUGGAUACAGAGGUGAUGUCCACAGAGAACUUAGGGAGAAAUAAACAGAUCUGAUCUUGAGAGGGACCACUUGCCAGUGGGCGUAUUUGCUCACUUCCCUGUCCUUCCCCCUUCUCCCUCACCACCUGUUUUGUUUUUUCUCAGGAGGUCUCUGGACGUGGCGUUUUGGAGCACUGAAUGCCUUAACAAACCAUUGCAGCCCAAAUCCCUCAAGCUAACCAUGGCAGAGGUCUCGGAGCAGGGUGUUUGCGGAGCAGAGGUGAAUCAGCGAUCAGUCUCUCCCCUCGAGGAGCUUGUGUCUACUAGGAAAGGUCAGGCAGGAGAAUGAGAACUCCCAAAAAGGAGGUACCAAGAAGAGCACAUAAGGUUGCAGAGAGGAGACCAGGAUUCCUGAAUUGAGAAAGCCUCAUUUGAAAGCUAAUCUUCUUUUUGAGCCUCGCAGAAGGAAUCCACCAAGUGGCAUUGGGAGUAGGAAGAGGUGGUGAUGGGAGGAGGCCCACAUGAGUUUUCUGAGGAACCUGGGGUGGUAAAGGGAUGGAUGUGGGCCACCAGCUAAUAGUCUUGUGUUCGUCCAGAAGAAUAGGAGACAAGUCUGGAAGGCAAGCUGAGGGAGAAGUGGGUAGCAGGGGUUGUUUGUCCCAUCCCUGAAUCCCUGCCACAUUGUGGACACAAAAAAAUGGUUGCUACAUAAAGGCAGAUGUAUUCUACUCUAUUUUUUUACUCUCUUAUUGAGACCUAACAUAUAUAAAUUGCAUAAAUCUUAAGUAUAAGGCUCCAUGAAUUUUUAUAUAUGUAAUGAACACACAGAUCAAAAUAUAGAGCAUUUCCAACAUUUCAGAAGGCUCCCUCAUGCUCCCUCAUUGACAAUACUGAACACCCUCUCCAAACACACAAGUACCCACUAUUUUUGACUUCUGCAUCUAGAUUACUCUUGUCUGUUCUCAAACCUCGUGUAAAUGGACUCACACAGAGUGUUCUUUAGGGCAUUUCUUCAGCAGCGCUGUAUAGAAAGGUUUAAGUGAGGAAAAGGUAGAUUAUUGCAAGAGCCUGGAUGAGACAUGAAAUGAGGGCUUUGAGCCAGGGUGGUGGCCAUGAGAAUGGGAAGGAGGCAACAGAUGCUAGACAUUGUUGGGACAACUAGUUCCUCAGGAACAAGUGGAAUGAGGCUGGCUGUUUGUGGGUGUGUACCACCUUCCAGAGCUCCAGCUUGCCCCAGGGCAGUGUCUGACGAUUAGGAUGACGGCCGGGGGAGGGGGGGGGCGGGCGGGGGGUCCCAGACAACGUGAUUCAGAAAGACUCUGCAGAGGCAUGAGAAGACACAACAUUCU